AGUGAAAAUAGUUUAAAUGGUUAAAACCUUAGAUUGUGAUUCUAAUUAUUAAGGGUUCAAUUCCCUUUUUUCACC
rnacentral:tRNA from 1 species